UCCAGACUCCUACGGGAGGCAGCAGUGGGGAAUAUUGGGCAAUGGGCGCAAGCCUGACCCAGCAACGCCGCGUGAAGGAGGAAGGCUUUCGGGUUGUAAACUUCUUUUCUGAGGGACGAAGAAAGUGACGGUACCUCAGGAAUAAGCCACGGCUAACUACGUGCCAGCAGCCGCGGUAAUACGUAGGCGGCAAGCGUUAUCCGGAUUUAUUGGGUGUAAAGGGCGUGUAGGCGGGAAAGCAAGUCAGAUGUGAAAACUCAGGGCUCAACCCUGAGCCUGCAUUUGAAACUGUUUUUCUUGAGUGCUGGAGAGGCAAUCGGAAUUCCGUGUGUAGCGGUGAAAUGCGUAGAUAUACGGAGGAACACCAGUGGCGAAGGCGGCCUGCUGGACAUUAACUGACGCUGAGGCGCGAAAGCGUGGGGAGCAAACAGGAUUAGAUACCCCAGUA
rnacentral:rRNA from 1 species